AGCAGCCGCGGUAAUUCCAGCUCCAAUAGCGUAUAUUAAAGUUGUUGCAGUUAAAAAGCUCGUAGUUGAAUUUCGGGAUUGACGUGAUGGUCGUGCCUUAAGGGGUAUGAACUGUCGCUGUUGAUUUCUCACCUUCUGGAGAAACUUGAUGUCCUUAAUUGGGUGUCUUGCGGAUCCAGGACCUUUACCUUGAAAAAAUUGAGUGUUUAAAGCAGGCAUUUUUGCUCGAAUACAUUAGCAUGGAAUAAUAGAAUAGGACGGCAUGGUUCUAUUUUGUUGGUUUCUAGGAUCACCGUAAUGAUUAAUAGGGAUAGUUGGGGGCAUUAGUAUUCAAUUGUCAGAGGUGAAAUUCUUGGAUUUAUUUGAAGGCUAACUACU
rnacentral:rRNA from 1 species